rnacentral:lncRNA from 1 species
GACGCCGCUCAGAGAGCUGUUGGUGGUGGAGGGCAAGUCUUGGUCUCUGAGUUUCUGUGGCGCGAACUCGCUUUAAAAACUAGAACCAGUUUUGUCCGGGUCCAGGCUCUCUGGAAAGCGGCGGCGUAGAGAAAGCACCGGGGGUUCGGGGGCAGGGAACAGUUUUGGACCUGCGGCCCAGCGUACACUGCCCGGUGGAGAGGCCGAGGAGAGAGGUCCGGAGCGCGGGGAUCUUGCGUCUUUUUGAUCUCCAGGCGUCCCCACGGAUUUCGCGCAGAAGUACCUCUCCCCAGCCCCACCUCUUGCCGUACUCCAAGGUUCCGCGGCUUCGCACCGACCGGCGCUAGGACCCGGCGGAGAGUGGAGGGAGGGGGAGGCGGACGAGUCCAGGGAGUUUGGAGGACCCGGUCGGUCCAUCCGCCUGGGCUGGAAAACUUUUUAAUUACUUCUCCUAACCGGAGUUCUAGGUGUUGCUAGGCGCGCAGAGUUGGCGCUGCUACCUGGCGCGGGGCCGCCAACUUUUUCCUGUGGGACUGGCCGAGCUGGAUUCCGGGGCUGGGGGACGGGGCGAGGGGGGACGCACCAGAGGGAGUAGGCGAAUUUGACCCAGGGGCGCGGAUCGCGAAGCGGGGUUGGCGGUCAGCGGGGUUGGAACCCACAGCCUUUUCCUCUCCUCCCCAUUCAGGUGGGCUCCAGUACCGGAGCGAGAAUAUCGAGGGAGCCGAGGCCUCGGAGUCUCGGUGGCCUAGAGUCCGAACACCGACUGGGAGAACCCUGCAGAGUGGUUUGCAGGGCGCUGAGUCCCCAGAAUCCUGGAGAACAAAGCGGCCCGGCCCGGGUGACCCCUGAGCGCCGCCUUCCCCCCCCACCCCGACACACACACAGCUGAGGGGGAAGGGGUUUAUGGCAGCGCCUUUCCCCAGCCACGUGGCGCCUCGCGCGUUCUUCUUUGGGAUCGCGGGGACAGCCGGCUCCCUUGAGGCGUCGUGGGCCAGCAAGUCUCCCCGCCUCGACCUCCCCCGCCCUCAUCGCCCCUUAGAUUAAGUGCGCUGAGGCCCAUCGCCGCCAUGGGUGCUGUUUUGGAAGUAUGCCUGUUUGAAAAUCGCCAGGCUGUGCGGGUCAGGACCCUCUCCCGGACAGUGGCCUUCCAAAGGCUGGCAAGUUGCCACAGCCCGCCCAGGAGCCCUCAAGGAGGCGCAGCGCGAAAGCAAGGCCUGGGGAGGCGGAGGUUCCAACUGUGGUCGCAGUAAAGCAGCAACUUCGUCUGGGGAACACAUACUCUGCUUUAAUCAAGUUCCUAUUCAACAUAUUCCCAGUGAUUAUUGGCCCAACUGCUUCAUUUUUUUUUUUUUUUUUUUUUUUUUUGGUCCAGAGCUCAUACAUAAGAUAUUUUCAGUUCGAUGUUUUUGGACUGGGAGUGAAAGUAGAUACAUUAAACGAAUAACCUAUGUGAGCUGAGGAGCUGGUCUCUGGGCCUGGAUCUAGGACCAUUUGUACACGUGCACCUGUGGAGAUCUGGAGGGAAACCCCAAAACAGGGCAUGGGAUUUUCAUUUUUUCUGCAAUGCUAAAAAUAACGGUCUGCCCUAGUGCAGGAACAAAGAAAAGACAAUUGGAAGUGCCCUGUUUUAGCAUACACCUGCUCUCCUGUGCAGGUAUCAGGAAUGUCUCUUCUUAGGAUCUGGGGAUAUUGCAGAGGCCCCCAGGACUGGGGGAGUACCAGAAUAAGGCCUUAUCAAUAAAGCCUUAUUGUGGGGGGAAGAGAGGCACCACAGCCAGGGCUGUAGAUCCUUCCACAGCAGAACCAGAAAGCUCCCCACUACGCCAGCUCUGUGCAAGGUGUUCAGUGGUCAGAGGUGAGUGAGAAGCAGCCCCUGCCCUCUCUCGGAGCCUUGGGCAUAGCUGGGAGACAGACAGAUCUUCACACAAAGUCACAAGGGCCUCCUCAAUGAGGAGGUGAUGCCGAAAGAGCCAGAAACGAGACUGGCUAGAAGCAUGGAGUGCAGCAAUUCGUCAUAUGUCCUUUAGGAGGUACCAGUGCAGAUGAACGAUGGAUGUGCUAUAAUAAAGCUGUGCAGACACAUAUGGGGCUUUGGAGGAGGGUGCAACCAGCUUUUGGGGGGAUAGUGCUAUGGGCUAAAUUUUGUCCUCCUGAAAAUUCAUAUGUUGAGCCCUAACCCCCAUUGUAACUCUAUUUGGAGAUGGAUUUUUCAGGAGGUGAUUAAGAUUAAAUAAGAUCAUAAGGGUGGGGUUCUAAUCUGAUAGGAUCGAUGGGCUCUCUCGCCCCCCCCCUCAGCCAUGUGAAGCCAGAGGGAGAAGGUGCUGGCAUUUGCAAACCAGGAAGAGAACCCACAGCAGAACCCAACAAUGCUGGCGCCCUAAUCUCAGACUUCUAGGCUUCAGAACUGUGAGAAAAUGCAUUUCUGUGGUUCAAGCCCCCUGUCUGGUAUUUUGUUAGGGCAGCAGGCACUGACUGAGACCAGAGGUUGAGGAGGGCUUCAUGCAGCCGUGGACCUUUGAUCCGCACCUUGAAGGAUGAGCAGGAAUUUGCUAGAAGGAGAGGUGCAAUUUGCAGAAUGGCAGGUGCAAAGGUGGAGCGGCUGCGAGUGCAUGGCGUGUUCUGGUAACAAAGGACAAGAUGUUUGAUGGGCUGGAGUGCAGGGAUUGCUGGGGAGGGGCCUAGAUAAGGCUGGAUGCACAGACAGGGCUGGGCUCACGGCCAAGGUGGCUCCGGGUGAAGGAGGACUCUCUCACAGGGUUUUGCCGCCCAGCUUCUAGCAGGGGAGCUCUGUGAUCCAAUGUGGGUUCCUGAAAGGCCACAGUGGGAGGGGCUGGAGAGGGAAGGGAUGACCGGAUGAGAAGCAGUGGCAACCUGAGGCCCCAGGAUGGGGGACAGAGGGCAGGGAUGGAUUUGAACAAAUUGUCAGGACUUGGGAGUCUGGGUAGGGGCUGAAUGCCUGGCUUCCGGCUGGGGUUACUGUCUGUCCACAACAUAAGCGAUGCAGGGAAAAUAGAGGGUCUCGUUCAAGCCCCUGGAGGUCGUGGGGUCUCACCACCCAUAGGACACUCCUUGCCUGAUUUGCAGUUCUGGAAGAGAAGACCAUGACCCAGGAACAGUCGCCAAGAUCUGCCUUCCAUAAUCUAGUUUUUCCUUUGAAGUCUAAGAGAACAUGUGUCUUGGGAUGAGGAGAAAGCUGUUUAGAGGCCAAGUAGUGGGUUUGUGGGUGGGCUGCCCAGAGAUGAGGGAGCGUCCUGGGGCUGGCGACACUGUGAAGCAAGAAUUGGCUGCAGAACCCCAGAAGCAAGAAUUGGCUGGAGACCCCAGGCUUGGCAGAGCCACUCUCCAUGGGAAGUGCCCAUGGCUGGAAGGGGGCUAUGGCCUGAAAAAUCACGUGGGCAGCCAGCAUUUUGCUGGGAUGGCUUGGGAGGGAGAUGGCUCUGUGGCUCACGCUCUGUUGAGACAGAGCCAGUAAUAAGAGAAGCUCAUAAAUCUUCCCCGAACACCUUUACGAUCCUUCUGCGUUGCCUGGAUUGAUGGCACUUGGCAGUCCUCGAGGAGAGAGAAGAGGGAGAGCUUUCUGAUAAGCCUUGGCCUCAAUGUACUCAGCAGGGGGGCGUGGGGCAGGGACCCAGGGGCUCUGACGGGGUGCCCGGCGAGAGAAGAGGCGUGCUCUGGCUCUACUUUUUACAAAGGAGAAAAUCAGCAACAGAAGUGAAAAUGCAUUUCAUAGGUGUGAAUUAUGCUCCGGAUAGCUCGGGAGAGGAAGAUGCCGAGCUGGGGGGGAGGGCAGGCUGCGAGGGGUGUGUAGGGGGGGGGAGUGAGCCUCCCGCUCUGAGAAUCGUGGUCCCGAGGUUUGGGUGCUCCUGGAUGGAGCCUGGUCCCAGAGCCGUUCACCACGCUGACCAUUUUGAGAAGAUAGGCAGAGCCUGUGGAAGUUUUUAUUUUACUUCGAUUCGCCUUUCCUAAGGCAAUGCAUAUAAGAGAAGUUUGACAAUCAAGCGAAUGCUGAAGAGCAAGUUCAAAGAGGACAAAUCAUUCUGAUUUAGUUUCUAACUUUGAUGACAGCUACGUGGAUGUAGAGUUGGUCAAAGCAGAACUAGUUAAGAUAAUUAAUAAGGUCUAAUUAAGAUAAAAGACAGGAACUGUAAUUUUCAGGCAUGGUUUGUGCUCUGACCAGGGGGCAUGAGUGUCUAAUACAGUCUGUCUACUACAGUGAUUCCCUAAAAUAUUCUCAACGACCUUCCUAAAACGUAGACAAGCAAAACAAUCAGAAGUUACUUUUUUUUUUUUUUUGCUAGGGGUCAAAUUGGAGCUACAGCUGCUGGCUUAUGCCACAGCCACAGCAAGGCGGGAUCCAAGACUCAUCUGCGACCUACACCACAGCUCACGGCAAUGCUGCGUCCCUGAGGCCAGGGAACGAACCUGCAUCCUCAUGGAUACUAGCCAGAUUUGUUUCCACGGCACCACAAUGAGAGCAGCCUGAGAAGACAUUCUUGUUACCCUGUCUCCUACUCUGUCUCACUGGGAGUUCUGGUAGUGCAGGGAUUCCUCAGAUGCAUUAAAACCCCUACUUUGUGUAUUAGG